AUGGACCGCCGGUACAGAUAACGCUUUGUACAUGGACCACGGUCCAGAAUUUUUUUCUUAUGAACCACACAAGAUGUUUUUGUGGCGGCUGGUUGGGUUUCUGAGUGCGGAAAUAUAGACAGGAGGACGGCGGCUGGAGAUGGAGAUCGAGAGGACGGCGAUGCUUGGCGGCGCCGGUGGUGAUUUUCCCAUGGAUCCGGUGGUCAAUCUUCACCGAUGGGGUUGUCCCCGCUGGCUCGGAUCUGAACGACGGGAGCGAGAUCGCUAGUGGCGGUCCGGUAGGCGUGCGGGAGUCGUCUGUGGCUGCGCACUUCAAUGGUGUCGACCCCGGCCGGGACGAUGCGGAUAGUCAGGGCAGUGCGCCCGCAGAGUCAGCCGAGUCUCCAAUCAAACUAGAUCCCCGACCACCCGGGUUGGAUCAAAAGUGUUCGUGUGGGCACGAGUCUAAUGGAGCGAAUACCAUGCGCUAGCAGAAUGGGCGCUCUAGAGAAAACGAUAAGAGGAUUUGCGGAGAGGGACAGGGAAGAAGUUAUCAAGUCAGAGUUGGGCAGGCAUACGACUUCUACAAUUUGUAUUCCUGGGAGCACGGAUUCAGUAUUAGAUACGGAAAGAGCCGGCUCAAUCCCGAGAAGUGGAAAACAAUCAAGGAAAUUGUUUGUGGAUGCUUGGUAGGGAGUUCGGCCUAAUAUAUGCAAGUUUGCUGGGGCUGAAUUUAAGAUGUACCGUGCUGACAAAUAUUCUUGUUGGUUUGUCGAGACCUGUGCGUGAGAACACGAGGAUAAAGUUCGAUCGCCAGUCCAAUGAGAGCUAUGAGGAGAAAAGAACCAGGAUUGUAAGUUACAGAUGUUAUGUGACGAAGAGUGUACUCUAGUCUUGAAUGAGUGAGCUGACAAAAAAUGUUUUACAUGCAGAAUGAACUAUACAGGGCAACAAACACCCAGUCUAAAAGAAGGGAGAAAUGGAGAAGGGUUGUUUUCCUGGUGAAGAUGAUUGACAAUGGAGCAGAGUUUGAAUACAAAUGUGUGUUGUUUGAACAUAUGAGCAUGUUAUGCUGUCAUGUUCUUAAGAUAUG